AGUUCUCAUAAAAUUAAAAUUUUGUAAAUUAAACAAAAACUAAAUUAUUACUCCUAGAGGCACCACCGACAACCAGAUUCCAAACUACUGCAAAUUAUCCUUAAUAAGCGCAUAUAUGUAAAAAUACAAGCAAUCUCUCUCUCCUCUGUGUUCAUACAUGAACGAACACCAUUACGUCCAGUACUAUUUGUAUGUACAACUUACUAGUAUUCAAAAACGAAGAAAACAGAUUUCAUUUUUAUUUUGUUUUUAAAUUUUGUUACAAAAAGGACAAAGUAGAAAUAUAUAUAUAUAUAUAUAUAUAUAUAUNN
rnacentral:lncRNA from 1 species